UCGGGUGUGGUGCACGGCGCACAGCGGCCUUUGGUAACUUUGCGUACUUUCUGCUGCCGCGUCAGACCGGGGUUCGACUCCCCGCACUCGAA